rnacentral:rRNA from 2 species
AAUCUACCUUCAGGACGGGGACAACAGCUGGAAACGGCUGCUAAUACCCGAUAUGCCGAAAGGUGAAAAGUUAUUUCGCCUGGAGAGGAGCUCGCGUCCGAUUAGCUAGUUGGUGAGGUAAAAGCUUACCAAGGCGACGAUCGGUAGCUGGUCUGAGAGGAUGAGCAGCCACACUGGAACUGAGACACGGUCCAGACUCCUACGGGAGGCAGCAGUGGGGAAUUUUCCGCAAUGGGCGAAAGCCUGACGGAGCAACGCCGCGUGGGGGAAGAAGGUUUUUGGAUUGUAAACCCCUUUUCUCAAGGAAGAACAAAAUGACGGUACUUGAGGAAUCAGCCUCGGCUAACUCCGUGCCAGCAGCCGCGGUAAUACGGAGGAGGCAAGCGUUAUCCGGAAUUAUUGGGCGUAAAGCGUUCGUAGGCGGCUGUUCAAGUCUGCUGUCAAAGACCGAGGCUCAACCUCGGGUCGGCAGUGGAAACUGGAUAGCUAGAGGUCGGUAGGGGCAGAGGGAAUUCCCAGUGUAGCGGUGAAAUGCGUAGAUAUUGGGAAGAACACCGGUGGCGAAAGCGCUCUGCUGGGCCGAACCUGACGCUGAGGGACGAAAGCUAGGGGAGCGAAA